GGGUCAGUAGGUUGGUCGUGCCACCGGUACGUACUGGUCUCACUGAUUCCUCCUUCCUGAAGAACCGUAAUGCCGUUAAUUUGGUGUUGCGGGGAAACAGGACUGUUACUUUGAAAAAAUUAGAGUGUUUAAAGCAAGCUAACGCUUGAAUACAUUAGCAUGGGAUAAUGAAAUAGGACGAUCGAUCCUAUUUUGUUGGUUUCUAGGAUUGACGUA
rnacentral:rRNA from 1 species